rnacentral:rRNA from 1 species
UACGUAGGGGGCAAGCGUUGUCCGGAAUCAUUGGGCGUAAAGCGCGUGUAGGCGGCUUCGUAAGUCCGUUGUGAAAGUCCAGGGCUCAACCCUGGAAUGCCGAUGGAUACUGCGGAGCUAGAGUCCGGAAGAGGCGAGUGGAAUUCCUGGUGUAGCGGUGAAAUGCGCAGAUAUCAGGAGGAACACCGGUGGCGAAGGCGGGACUCUGGGCCGAUACUGACGCUGAGGAGCGAAAGCGUGGGGAGCAAACAGG